CCUACGGGCGGCAGCAGUGGGGAAUAUUGCACAAUGGGGGGAACCCUGAUGCAGCGACGCCGCGUGGGCGAUGAAGUAUUUCGGUAUGUAAAGCUCUGUCAGCAGGGAAGAAAAUGACGGUACCUGACUAAGAAGCCCCGGCUAACUACGUGCCAGCAGCCGCGGUAAUACGUAGGGGGCAAGCGUUAUCCGGAUUUACUGGGUGUAAAGGGAGCGUAGACGGCGAGGCAAGUCUGAAGUGAAAGCCCGUGGCCCAACCCCGGGACUGCUUUGGAAACUGUGUGGCUGGAGUGCAGGAGGGGUAAGCGGAAUUCCUAGUGUAGCGGUGAAAUGCGUAGAUAUUAGGAGGAACACCAGUGGCGAAGGCGGCUUACUGGACUGUAACUGACGUUGAGGCUCGAAAGCGUGGGGAGCAAACAGGAUUAGAUACCCCAGUAGUC
rnacentral:rRNA from 1 species